CACAUUGUACAUUAUCUUCUAAUAUAAUUCUCAGUUAUAUUCAUUAUGGAUCUGGGACCGAUAUGCCCCGACGUUUUGACCCUCCAGGCGAGCCAUGUUUCAGACCAUAUUGGCUCAGGACAGCCCGUACCAGACAUCACCAUGAUCGAGCAUUCCCAGAGCCAUUCAGCUUGGGUCAUUGAGGAUGCGAGAGUUCUAGCGCUGAUCUCUCAGGCCGGUUUUCGGGAGUGUUCGACGGUUUGAUAUAUCAGGCUUGAUUGGCCGCUUAUCACUGCACUGAUUGAGAGGUGGAGGCCAGAGACCAACACCUUUCACAUGCAUAUAGGGGAGUGUACCAUCACUUUACAGGACGUGGCCGUCAUACUUGGGCUCCAGAUCGAUGGGCCGGCAGUUACGGGCACCGAUGAUCAUAGUUGGCCGGAGGUAUGUGCCCGGCUUCUUGGACAGGUUCCUGACUUGAGGAGUGGUGCGAUGAAGCUAUCAUGGCUUCGUCAGACAUUUUAAGGCGACAUACCAGAGGAUGCCAGUAUGGAGACGCUUCAGUUCCAUGCUCGUGCUUACAUAUUGCACAUGAUAGGGUGCGUGCUUUUUCCUGAUGCGAGCAAGACUCUUGUACAUGCACAAUGGCUGCCGUUGCAAGAGGAUUUUGACAUAUGCAGCGCACGGUCGUGGGGCAGUACAGUGUUGGCAUACUUGUAUCGAGAACUGGAUAGAGUAUCCCUGAUGCAGAAUAAAGAAUUCAAGAGAUGCUGCACAUUGAUACAGAUUUGGUCAUGAGAGCGCAUUCAUAUUGGACGCCCUACUUUACUUGUGCACCGUGACCUACAGGGGCAGUUUUCUUUGGCGUACAUGUAUAAUUGUACACACAAAUUUUAUUCGCACUGAAUUUGUACUUAUGUAUUCUCUAUUCUGCAUAUAGGUAUAACGUGCGGUACGCUAAGUACCGAUCAGCGACGCGCCAUCGUGAGUUUUACCGAAAUGAGCUUGAUGACCUCCAACACGAACAGUUCAAGUAGAGACCCUAUACACCGCCGGAGCUCGAUAUGCAUUCUCUUGCACCCAUCUGCCGAGAUAGUCCCGACUUGUGGAGAGCCAGAGUUCCAUUGAUUUGUUAGGAGAUCGUGGAGAUGCAUGUCCCUGACCGUGUGCUACGAUAGUUUACGCUCUCUCAGCAUGUGCCAAAUCCUGUCGAGCAGAUCAAUCGUUGGCGGUGACCUACUUUGCACCAUACCGACUGGGUCGUAGUCCGUGCGGCCUACAUAGACAGGUGGUCUCACAGGUGGGAUUUCAUCCAGGAUACGAGGCCCACAGCUGUUGACUAUACCGUGUAUAUGGGUUGGUAUUGGGGUAUCACACGUAGAUAGAUCACACGUGACCUACAGCCAUUAGCUGGACAUAUGCCACGGCCACCGACAGACAGUUACAUCCUUAGUGGGAUGAACAAGAGAGAUUACGUCCGUGCUUUUGAUAGCAUUGAGGCUGAUAUUGAUGCGACCGUGCCUGAGAUUCAGGAUCAGGUGGCGUUAGGACUCCUCAGCAGGAUCAAGAAGACCAUAGCACAUGUGUUUCGUAAGACACACGUCGACGAGUUCGUAGGCCGUGAGGACAGGUCUCGAUCAUUUGGGCAGGCGUACACUCGGCGCCGACGGCCACGUGACGAUGACGGCGGCACUUCGCAUGCUGAUGGAGCCGGCACUUCGCAUGCUGAUGGAGCCGGAACUUCACAUGCUGAUGAAGCCGGCACUUCACAUGCUGAUGGAGCCGGCACUUCGCAGCCUCACACACAGCCGGAUACUCAGAUAGUCGAGGCUCAUCAGCGCGGGGGGCGGGGAAGAGCGAGGGGGAGGGGGAAGAGA